rnacentral:rRNA from 1 species
GUGUCAGCAGCCGCGGUAAGACGAACCGUGCAAACGUUGUUCGGAUUCACUGGGCUUAAAGGGCGCGUAGGCGGCUUGGCAAGUCUGUGGUGAAAUCUUUCGGCUCAACCGGAAAAUGGCCAUGGAUACUGCCGAGCUCGAGGGGGGUAGGGGUCGCGGGAACUGCCAGUGGAGCGGUGAAAUGCGUUGAUAUUGGCAGGAACGCCGGUGGCGAAAGCGCGCGACUGGACCUUUUCUGACGCUGAGUGCGCGAAAGCUAGGGGAGCAAACGGGAUUAGAUACCCCGGUAGUCC